GGGCCAAGGCGCCACCCUAGUGGGGUCCCAGCGCCGGAGCCCGCCCCCUACCUGCCCAUCCAGCCCACCGCGGAGCAAGCACAAGCCGAGAGAUUCCCCGCCCCGGCCAAGCCUGGCACUGAGACCCGACGCCCGACGCUGUUUGGUGUGCGGUUGUGUGCGCCCCAGAGCCGCGGGUCCAAGAAGGCGAAGGAAACGCUGGCGGUGGAUCAAAGACUCUGGACUAGAGGCUCACAAGGAGGGGCUGAGGGGCGCGGUCACUGCGAGCCAUUCACGUCCAGCGGCGUGCGGCCGGCCUACCUGCUGGGAUCACUUCAGUGUAGUAACUCGAAACAGUGUUACUGUCCGGCCCUUUUCACAUCUGCUGGUUUUACCGGGCCCCAGGGCUUGGCUCCGCCCCGCCUAAUUGCCCUACAGCUUCCUCAUUGCUACACUCACACCCCUCUCUCCUGCCAGGAUCCCUCCACCGACGCUCAAAGUCUGUGUGUGGCUGCGGUGGACAGAGGACUGGGACACGUGAACGCCUUUGAGCCACCAAUCAUGGCCACUCUCAUUCCAUGACUCUUCUUCCUUCGCCUGCUACCACCAGCAGCAGUUCCCCCCUGCCUUCUCCCCCCACCUCCCAUCCGGAGCCCUCCUGCGGGAGCUCCUGGCAGAAAAGCACUGGCUGUCACUGGCUUCGAGCCCAC
rnacentral:lncRNA from 1 species